GAGAAGCUCAGAUUGAAUCUCUACUCAUUACUACGACAUUAGUGUGAGCGUGACUGAGUUUUUAGAAUACAGGCGUAAUUGUUGCAAAACUUUAAAAUUAAAUAUACAGAAACUCCCAAACAGAGCGGCAAGAACCAUUGCAGGAAUACAGGAGAUAACUAUGACAUUUGGUCAAAACAAAUAUUAGAAAAGUUGUGUUGGAAAAUCUUCGAAAAAAGACGUGAGGAUCGACUAGUGCUAAUGUUAUUAUUGAAAAGAAGCCGUUCUGAAAUAAUAUAUCAUCUUUUUGAAAAGUGUAUAAUAAUGUAAAUUAUAAUUUAAGAAGUAAUCGA